rnacentral:rRNA from 1 species
GAUGAACGCUGGCGGCGUGCUUAACACAUGCAAGUCGAGCGAGUGAGUUCUUCGGAACGAUCUAGCGGCGGACGGGUGAGUAACACGUGGGCAACCUGCCUCAUAGAGGGGAAUAGCCUCCCGAAAGGGAGAUUAAUACCGCAUAAAAUUAUCGAGUGGCAUCACAUGAUAAUCAAAGGAGUAAUCCGCUAUGAGAUGGGCCCGCGGCGCAUUAGCUAGUUGGUGAGGUAACGGGUCACCAAGGCGACGAUGCGUACCCGACCUGAGAGGGUGAUCGGCCACAUUGGGACUGAGACACGGCCCAGACUCCUACGGGAGGCAGCAGUGGGGAAUAUUGCACAAUGGGGGAAACCCUGAUGCAGCAACGCCGCGUGAGUGAUGAAGGUCUUCGGAUUGUAAAGCUCUGUCUUUGGGGACGAUAAUGACGGUACCCAAGGAGGAAGCCACGGCUAACUACGUGCCAGCAGCCGCCGUAA